rnacentral:misc_RNA from 1 species
CUCAAAGAGAGCAAAAAGGAGGAUAACCACUCAUCAAUGAAUACCAUACUCCAUGGGGUUCCUUCUAGUUGUAAGUUGUCCACUGAUGAGAAGGAUACUCCUGUAAGGUUGAAGGAGUUUAUAACUCACAUAGAUGGUAAAGAAAACUUCAGAAGUUGUCAUGAAACAAAUGAUUCUGAUAAUGAUCUCAGCAAAGGUCGACUCGCUCACAUAAGAAGAAUAUCCUCUCUAAAUGAGUCGGCAGAUAGGUAUGCUCGAUUGUUUGAGUUCAGCUUAACCAAAAAGGCCAAGUGGCAUGACUUUCAAUCUAAGAGCUUAAAAUUGACAAAUGAAGAUAAGUUUACAUCAACUGGCAACAGUUUGAAAACCUUCAGGAGGAGACUUUCCCUGCCAGAUCUCGAGUCUUUUUGUCCCUUGCCUAAUGAGACAUCACACAAUUCAAUUCAUUCAGGGAUUCCAUUUAAGACUUCUACUGAUUAUGAUACAAACGCUGAGAAUGUCAUUCAUAAUGACUUGAAGUCGGAAAGCAUUUGUGUGGCUAUAAAACAAUUUGAACCACGAGAAGCUGUUGAAGAUGCUGAAUUUCAGAAAAACAUAGUAGAGGAAGCUAACAGCUGUGAUUAUGAUGAAAAUUCAGGUGAUCCAACAGCAGUUAUUGAGGAAGAAGUUGCUACCGUUGGAGAACUACAUGAGGAUAGAGUUGAGCAAGAAAAGCAAAGUCCUGCUUCAGUUCUUGAGGAACAUUUUCAAGAUGAAAUAGCAGGCCAAACUGAGUACCUAGUCUCAAAAGGUUGUGAGGUGGAUUCUGGGCUUAUUUGUAUCGAUGAACCUAAUAUUUCUAUCAAUCUACAAGAUGGGUCCAGCAGAAAUUCCUUGACCGGAUGUUGCAGUAGUGCAGACCGUGGGAACGAUGAAAAUGCAUACACAGUGGCUGGUGAUCACUCCAUGCUCUUCGAAUUAAAUGAACCAGAUGAUACUGAUUUCAAUUAUGUGAGAGAUGUUCUUGAAGUAUCUGGCUUCAUUGAGCAAGGGUGUCGUGGGACCUGGCACUCACUAGACCAGCCAUUAAGUCCCACAUUGUUCAAGGAAUUGGAGGCAUAUUUAAACCAUGAAUUGGAAUGCUCUUCAGAGGAUGUUGGCAGCAACUGUGAUCACCAGCUUCUGUUUGAUUUGAUUAACGAAGUACUACUUCAGAUAUACAAGAGCUCAUUGGCCUACUUCCCAGAAUCCUUCUCCUUCACUCAACGUGUACGUCCAUUACCUAAGGGAAACCAUACUCUUGAGGAAGUUUGGAAAAGAAUUAGCUGGUAUCGGAGCAUAGCAUUAAAGACGACUCAAUCAUUGGAUGAUAUUAUGGCUCAAGACAUGGCAAAAGAUGAUGGUUGGAUGAAACUUCAAUUGGAUGUUGAGGACGUAGCACUUGACCUUGAAGAUUUGAUUUUUGAUGAACUUCUAGAUGAAGUUAUGCGUUAGUGAGGAAGUCAAAGCCAGAUAUGAAGCUACCUUCUCAAGGUAUUCUUGUGUGUGUGUUUGUGUCUGUAUAUAUACAUAUAUAUCAUUGCCAGCAUUGUAUGUGAAAAUUUUGUUUCUUUACAAGUCAUUCUUUUAUUUUCAAAGGAAAAUAUGCGUUUCUUUAUUGCCACAACUGCAGGGGAUAAAUAAUGGUUGGAAUCUUGCAUCAGCUGCUUUACCCUUUCUAUUACAGGUUUUCAAGUUUUCUUGAGUUGGAAAUUUAGGAAAAAAAUAGGGUAGUUCAUUUAAUGUAUAGGCUUGUCUAGUUUUGUGGAAUUCUUUGAAACCAUUCUCCUGUAAUGCACAGUUUGUAACUUGAUGAGCUUGUUUCUGAUUA